UACGGAGGGAGCUAGCGUUGUUCGGAAUUACUGGGCGUAAAGCGCGCGUAGGCGGCUUUGUAAGUUAGAGGUGAAAGCCCGGGGCUCAACCCCGGAACUGCCUUUAAAACUGCAUCGCUUGAAUCCGGGAGAGGUGAGUGGAAUUCCGAGUGUAGAGGUGAAAUUCGUAGAUAUUCGGAAGAACACCAGUGGCGAAGGCGACUUACUGGACACAUAUUGACGCUGAGGUGCGAAAGCGUGGGGAGCAAACAGGG
rnacentral:rRNA from 1 species